rnacentral:lncRNA from 1 species
UGCACUGAAUGCAAUUGAAACAAAGACCACUUCUUUAUGAAAACACAGCAUCAGCAGUGCACCAAUAUUCAACAAUGGGUUACUUAUAAAAGGUUAGCCGAAUGCAGACGAACACUGUUGUGGACUGGCAGGUCAGACAGAAUGUAUGCCUCAAAAGUUAAGCUCAUAAGAUAGCUUCGCACAUCUAAUUGGUUCAUCACUCCUGCCAACCAGAUGCACUGAAUGCAAUUGAAACAAAGACCACUUCUUCAUGAAAACACAGCAGCAGCAGUGCACCAAUAUUCAACAAUGGGUUACUUAUAAAAGGUUAGCAGAAUGCAGACGAACACUGAUGUGGACUGGCAGGUCAGACAGAAUGUAUGCCUCAAAAGUUAAGCUCACAAGAUAGCUUCGCACAUCUAAUUGGUUCAUCACUCCUGCCAACCAGAUGCACUGAAUGCAAUUGAAACAAAGACCGCUUCUUUAUGAAAACACAGCAUCAGCAGUGCACCAAUAUUCAACAAUGGGUUACUUAUAAAAGGUUAGCAGAAUGCAGACGAACAAUGUUGUGGACUGGCAGGUCAGACAGAAUGUAUGCCUCAAAAGUUAAGCCCAUAAGAUAGCUUCGCACAUCUAAUUGGUUCAUCACUCCUGCUAACCAGAUGCACUGAAUGCAAUUGAAACAAAGACCACUUCUUCAUGAAAACACAGCAGCAGCAGUGCACCAAUAUUCAAUAAUGGGUUACUUAUAAAAGGUUAGCAGAAUGCAGACGAACACUGUUGUGGACUGGCAGGUCAGACAGAAUGUAUGCCUCAAAAGUUACGCUCAUAAGAUAGCUUCGCACAUCUAAUUGGUUCAUCACUCCUGCCAACCCAAUGCACUGAAUGCAAUUGAAACAAAGAUAGUGGAUUGUCACAAGUGGACACAAACUGAUUGCUAUGAAACAAAGAUAAUGGGUAGUCACAAGUGAACGCAAAGGAAUGGGAAAUGUCCCACCCGUGAAAAUCAACUGCUGGAGUGGACUAGGCAGAUGACAAAGUAUGGGUGGGUGUCAAUCUCUGGAGCCAUGGGUGAACCCAAUGCCACACAUAUAGGUCGGCGAGUCAAUAACCCAC